GCACUAUAAGAUUUAUAUUCAAUUUUUGAUUAAAAAUUUUUAAUUACUUGCAAGUCCAACUUUUGUGGUUUGUAAAAAACUACAUCAGGAAAAUAAAUUUAUUGUAACUCGCUUCAACUUUAACAUUAGCUGCACCUAGAUCUGACAUUCUAUAGUAUGAUAUAGAAAAAAUAUUUCUAAAAAAUAUUUUUUUGACGACGGCAUACAAGCUCUAUAUUAAAGAAGAUAUUUCUUGGUGACUAUCAUUUACUGAGUAAGUUCCCCUAAUAAUUUCCUAUAGCCGCCAUAAUUUUUGAGUUUAAUAAAAACCUUAUGUACUUCUCAGACAAUCAAUAUAGUUAGUAAUAGUAGGGUAUCUAAUCCUGGUUUAAGUUACUAAUUUAUUAAAUUUCACCUAGAUAGUAAAGAAGAAAAGCUACAUUUCACUGUAAGCCACCAAUUUUUAGGUGUAGUAUUUCAUUUGUCUUAAAUAGUUAUUUUAAAUUAAGGUUUAACCGCGGUUGCUGGCACAUUAUUUACCUUUAAUUUUUGGCCUAUGCUAGCUUUAUAUUUCUAUAGUUACAUAAUGUUAUUAACUGAAUAUAUAGAAGUUUUCAUGAUUAUACAAAGGACAAUAUAACUUCUACUAUCAAAUUAAGUAGAAUAUUCUAAAAAGGGUAUCCCAUUUUUGG
rnacentral:rRNA from 1 species